rnacentral:rRNA from 1 species
AUGCAUUCACAUAUAGACAGCUUAUUUGCAUUGUUCAAAAAACUUUGUAGUCUCAAUGAUGAUGCAUACAUGUCAACGAUGGGUGUUGGCUCCAACAAUUCACAUUGGUCUCAAACCAAUGACAUGCAUUUCAAAAACCAUGAGUUUGAGGUGGACGAGGAGGGUGAGAGCGUUGUCGACGCACCGAAAGGAAGAGCGGGCAAUUACAGCAACGCCGAUGACAUCUUACUAUGCAAUACUUGGUUGCAAGUGUCGAGGGAUCCAUCCGUUGGAGGUGAUCAAAGUAGAGAUGCUUAUUGGCUUCGGAUGAAGGAACACUUUGAUGUUCGCAACGUGAGUGGAAUUGACCGCUCCGACCGAUCACUUAGGUCCCGGUAUGGCCACCAUGGGAGGUAUGAGUUUUGCUUCUCUCAUGGGAGGCAUGGAUGCACCUCCGGCCGCCAUGGGCGGAAUGUCUUUCGAUGUGCCUCCUCGCACACAUUCCCAUGA